rnacentral:rRNA from 1 species
UUAUUUGAGAGUUUGAUCCUGGCUCAGGACGAACGCUGGCGGCGUGCCUAAUACAUGCAAGUUGAGCGCUGAAGGUUGGUACUUGUACCGACUGGAUGAGCAGCGAACGGGUGAGUAACGCGUGGGGAAUCUGCCUUUGAGCGGGGGACAACAUUUGGAAACGAAUGCUAAUACCGCAUAAAAACUUUAAACACAAGUUU